GGAUUUGGCUGGCAUGUAUAGAGUACGCCAAUUUCAUGGUCAAACAUACGAGGCAUUGGCGCAGUUCACGCCAACUCAUUGAGACAAAGAUGAGUGGCAUCCACUGCAAGGCGCUUGGUGUUUUAUUCAAGCACGCACUCUUUGGAUCAUCUUCUUGACGUUGGAGUUGAACACAAUCUUUCUCAGGUUUAACAUGUGCUUCCCUCCUUGAAAACAAAUGAGUCUCUAUAGGCUGCUUUUGUAUCUCCAAGACCAGUAUAGAUAUUGCCAGUGUGGUGUUGGUUGAGAUAUGGUUUUAGCCAGAAUGCAGUGAGUAACGUAACUCAAAGACUUAGGCACGGGGACUCCAGACAAUGUGGGAUGGAACUUGAGAAAGAAGCACGUGGCUUAAUUCAUCAAACACUGUGACGUUGUGGUCAUCUACUUCUCCUCAGUUCUGACAGACCUCAACAACCGCGAGGAUGGUGAAGGUUCUGUGUUUCUGAUGAAGGUCGAACUCAGUUACGGGAUGCUUGAAAGGGGCCUGAAACCAGUCUUUCUGGCAGUAUUUACAAAGAGGGGUAUCGACAUAUCGAGACGGAGUGGUGAACUGAGGCGGGAGAUUUGAGAGGCUUGGUGGAUGUAAGAUAAAGCUUGGUGGAUGUAAAACAAGAUUCUAAUGAUUUUAAUACACUUACACAUUAUUUUUACAACAAUCAUAUAUCGUUUAUAGUAUGUGCUUUCUAGGAUCAACCACUAGCGUGUUCAAUUGUGUGCCUUUCCUUUCAGUUUAUAAAGUAGUAUGUGUUGGCUAAUUAAUAGAGUUUAUGGCUUAUCUUAAUAAGAAAGAAAAAAACAGUAUGAAUCUAUUAUCAUUAUACUGCAAUAUGUAAUGUUUAGAGAUAUUAGUUAGGUUUUGUUUUUAUUUUUACCUGAUUAGCAAUUAAUACCCUAUAACUACAAAAUACUAAGAACAUUAAAACAUUUCUAAUUUAUUGUAAUUUAGAAUUAUUACCCUAAACAAAAUUAGUAAUGGAACUUUAUUAGAUCAAAUGUUCAUUUAUAUUUUACACUUUCAAGGUUCGUUUCUUGAAAGAAAACCUUUGAUGAACCUGAGGAUUCUAAUAACAUCUUAGAUUAUCACUUAGCUUCUAACUGUUAUUGUUAUGUGGUUAGGAAGAUUACAAUAAUUAGCUAGAUAACAAAACCUUCAUAAAACUAAUAUAUACUGUUUAGAAUAAAAUGCUUUAAAUAUAUUUCUUCAUUUUUCUUACCAAUUUUAAUACACUAACUUUAAAAUUAUGUCCACUUUAAUAUUCAAAAUAUGCUCAUUUUAAUCAAAAGUUUUAAAAAGUCUCAAAAAAAAUUAAAAAAAAAACACUACAAAAUUCAAAACCAAAUCUUAAAAAUUUGUAAUUUUAUGUUAAUUUCUAGGAAAAUAAAUUAAAUUGUGGAUACCUUAAAAUUUUAACUUUAGUUAAUAUCAACUUUAAUUUGUUUUCUGAAACUUAAAACUAAUACAUUUAUUCUCCAAUCAAAUUAAUUUUUUCUAAUUUUCUUAAAUUCAUCCAAAAUUUAGUUGGUUUUAUUGCUAAACUUUAAAAUAGAAAUUGUUUAAGAUUUAGUUAGAAUUUAGAAAAUUUUAUAAAUUUCAUUUGAAACUUAUUAAUAUUUUUUUAUCAAAGUAAACAUAAUUUGAAUAUUAAAAUGAGCACAAUAUUAAAAAUUAAUGGAUAUAUAUGAACAAAUUAUUUAGUUGAAAUAAUUUAUAGAAUUUUCUCUUAAAAUAAUAUUUAUGUAAAUUCUUCACCACAAAAUAAUUGACUAUGUUUUUUUGUCUCUGAGAACAAAAAAUGAACACAAAUUUUUUUUUUGAGAAACAACAUAACACAAAUCUAAAGAUACAAAUACAUGAAGGCCACUAAGAAAAUCAAAUUAUGACUCUUAAUUUAUUACUUUUAAACAUAAUUUUCUUAUGUAUAUUACAUAUGUACUUAUUUAAUUUGAUCAAACCAAAUCCGCGCACAGAAACUACAACAAAGUUCAUAGUUGAUCUGCUUUAAAACAUAUAUACAAGCAAAACAUAACUUUUAAA